GCAACAUUACUGGAGGUCUUCUGAAGAAUUUACAAAUGCUUGAAAAGUAUGUGUCUGAUUGUUUUCAAUUCCUCUGUCAUCACAUAUCUACCUGAAAAACCAGACAUCCCCUAGAGUCAAAUCUGGUGACUGAAAUGUCAGAGCCAAGAAGCCACUGUCAACAGGAAUCUUUCUUUCUUUAAGUAUGAGUUUUCUGCAGCCCACUCUCUGAGAACAGCUAUAUCAAUUACCUGCUACAAAACUUCUCAAGACCUUCUGCAACACUCUGGCAUUAUCCUCCAGUAUAAUGUGACCAGACAAUACACUUGUAAAGCAGUUUAAGCCUGAAAGGAAAAUGGCUCCAAAUCCACCAGAUGAGAAAGAACGUGGGACAGGAGAGGCACGCUUAUAGACAAGAUAAGCAUUUUGUUGUUAUUGUUGUAAAGUGUCUGGACACAAACAUUAUAUUAUA